rnacentral:piRNA from 1 species
UCCACACAGGUGAGAAACCCUAUGAAUGCA